rnacentral:rRNA from 1 species
AGAGUUUGAUCCUGGCUCAGAGCGAACGCUGGCGGCGUGCUUAACACAUGCAAGUCGAACGCGCAGCAUUCUGUAGCAAUACAGGGUGUGGGCGCGUGGCGAACGGGUGCGUAACACGUGGAUAACCUUCCUUCAGGUGGGGAAUAACCCAGUGAAAAUUGGGCUAAUACCGCAUAACAAAGCGAGAAGACAUCUUUUUGCUUUCAAAGCCGCAAGGCGCCAGAAGAGGGAUCCGCGGCCGAUUAGCUUGUUGGCGGGGUAACGGCCCACCAAGGCAUUGAUCGGUAGCCGGACUGAGAGGUUGGCCGGCCACACUGGAACUGAGACACGGUCCAGACUCCUACGGGAGGCAGCAGUGGGGAAUCUUGCACAAUGGGCGAAAGCCUGAUGCAGCAACGCCGCGUGGGGGAUGAAGCUUCUCGGAGUGUAAACCCCUUUCGACCCGGAAGAAAGCCCGCAAGGGUUUGACGGUACGGGUAUAAGAAGCCCCGGCUAACUACGUGCCAGCAGCCGCGGUAAAACGUAGGGGGCCAGCGUUGCUCGGAAUUACUGGGCGUAAAGGGUCCGUAGGCGGUGUGGCAAGUAGGUAGUGAAAUCUCUAGGCUUAACCUAGAGGCUGCUGCCGAAACUGCCGUGCUAGAGUGUGAGAGAGGCGAGUGGAAUUACGGGUGUAGCGGUGAAAUGCGUAGAUAUCCGUAGGAACAUCCGAGGCGAAAGCGGCUCGCUGGAUCACAACUGACGCUGAGGGACGAAAGCUAGGGGAGCAAACAGGAUUAGAUACCCUAGUAGUCC